UCUCCGCCCGUAGUGAUGGCCAGCGCCGCCACCUCCUGUCUCCUCGUCGUUGUCGGAGGACGAGGUCAUUAAGAAGAGCACUUCCGGCGGUCGCACUGUGGUGUCGUUCGCCCGCGCCGCCGUAUCAAUGGGACCUUGCGCGGCUCCCUCUUCCUUCCUGUUCCCUCCCACCCCUCCUCCCGCAGGCUCCAACCCUGGUGGUUGGUGGGUGAGCAGCCGCUGCUCGAGCAGGCGCUGGCUGGUGCCCUUGACUUCGCGUUCAACCUAUCAACCUCUCCUCCCUCUAGUUGUGAUAUAUUUCAGGUUUCUUCGUUGAGCUAGAGAAAGCGAUAUUCAGAAAAUUCAAUGCAGCAGCAGCAACUCCAAGGCGUGAAAUAUGUUCCUAUUUUGGCUGAAUGACUGUAUUCGUGCAUUUACUUCUUUGAUUGUUGGCAACAUUGAAGAGGGGAUGUCUGGCCACAAAGCUACCUUACUGUGAUCGUUAUUGUUGAAUGUUGGUGUUUGGGCAUCCGCUUCUUUGAUGCUUGGAAACAUUGACAAGGGUGCUGGAUAUCUCACUCAGAUUGGUUGGCAAUCAUUGAAUUCACAGAUAAAGCAUGAGAAGCUUUUCCAUCGAGUGUUGAGUUCUGCAAGCAGUAAAGGUAGAGGCGUCGCUGGGGUGCUGGGGGCAAACUUUAUCAAGCCCACUCAUGACAAGCAAGACUUUGAGAAGUCGCAGCUGUAUCAGAAGCUGAUCAUUCGCUUGAAAGACAUGACAACUAAGUACUGGGAUUUACAUAGUCACCUGAUUUCGUGGUUAUCUCUAGUUGUAGCCAACACACAACAACAAUUGGCACAUCAGAUUUAGGGAGGCCAGAUCUGGUGGCAGGUUCAGCAUCCAAGAAUAAGAGUUUUCAUCAAAUCUGGGCAUAGCAACAAUACCAUGUAUCGAAGAAAGUUGUAUGCCAUAGUAUCUCUCUGAAAGGGGCAAUUCAGCAUUUGGAGAUAAUGUCGAUCUAGUUGGUGACGAAGGUGCUGGUAAUGGAUCACUAUUUGUCUGAUUAUCCGACUCAGGAACCAUCGAUACAAAACUUUCUUAUAGUGGAGGUAAUGUUGAGAUGAUUGGUGACGUAGGUGAUUGCUCCAAAACACUGGAUUCCAUACAUUUCGUUUUUUUUGAAGGCCGGUUAUCAAAAUCCUCAACAAUGGUAAAUUCAGUGUUGUCAUCCACUUUCUGCAAUGGCAAGAAAAAGAAUAGUUAAACAUUCCAGUCAUAUUGUUCAAACAAUAUUUGAGAUUAUUACAAAGUUGAAUCAAGAAGGAAUAAUAAAAAAUACUUGAUCAAGACUAUUGCAAUUCCUGUACCAAUUUCUUCUUACUGGUAUAAUAUGAAAACUUACUAUAUAUAUUUUUACAGAAAAGUUGCUCUAUUACAGGUACUGCUACAGUAGAAGGAUUUAGAUUAUCUACUGUUAUUGUCUAAAAUCAAGAAGGAAUAAUAAAACUAAUAUUUCAUCAAGGCUGUUGCAACUCCUCUAGCAAAUUUCCAUCAAGUUCUAGUCACUGUUAUAACAUGCAAUCACAACCAACCACUAAUGCACACCUUUAGAAUAACUACAAAGACAUAGAGUGGAACCAUAUAGUACCUGUGACCGCGAUGGCGGUUUUCUUUUGCUGUAACUGUUCUUUUUUUUGCUGGGACCAGUCAAAUUUUGUGCUGCGACCUGGCGGCGUCGAGCCAUUGUUUCCCUGGAAACAUACAUUAGUUUUGUUAGAAGAAAAUAUAAAUAAAGCAUUAACUAACAACAGGCUAUUGGAUCUUGACAUGAAAAUAGUCAAUUCAGUAAGUACAAAUUUAGAUGAACUACUUCCAUAAAAAACUGUAUUUAAAUAGAAGCCUUCUCAUGCUCAUGCUAAGAAAGCCUUGCUUCUGUUACUUGUAUGUAUUGGUUUACUUUUUACUUAUAUAUCACUACUAUUUACUGCUAAGAAAGGCUGCAGGGACCAUAUAGCACUGAUCUCAAGUUCUCAACCACUAAUGCAGACAUUCAGCCAAUUAAGUACAGAGAUGUAGAGCCGAACCAUAUAGCACUGGUCUUACAAAAAUAAACUUAAACAGAGACCUUUUCAAUUCUAGAUCUUACAAAAAUAAACUAAAAUAGAGACCUUUUCAAUUAUAGAUCAGUAGGUUUUUCAAACUGAGAAGGCCUUUCCAUUAAUCAAAAACCAUAGAUAAAUCAUUGUCCAUGCACCUUUGGCUAAUGAUAUAUGCAUACAUAAACCAUUGUUCUCUGGUGUGUUUAUAAAUACAUAUUCAUAGAUAAAUCAUUGUUCUCUUGUGUGUAUAUAUUUCAUCUCCAGAUAGCCUAAUUUUGGCUAAUCUAUCAGGCCAAAAAAGUGCAAACUAUUCGUACAGAUUAUAUAGUUCUUAGCUGAUACAUGUUCUAGACUUGUAGUAAGCUACCCGAAUCUAGAUGAGGAAGCAUGAAAAAGAUGAUGCCCUGCAGUAGCUAUCAGCUGGUGCAUAUUUUAGAUAUUUAUCAGACCAUUAUUCAUCCUUAUUGGUGCUACCAAAGGUGAGAUCUCUGGAACAUGCUUAAGUUUCUCUCUUGUUUCCAUUAUUUGGAAACCAUUAGGAGAUCCUUACAGCAGGAACACAAACUAACAUACAGAAUUGACUUCUCGAGGCAUGUAAUCAUCGCUGUUAAUGGUAGAUGUAUAAACUGACGAGACAAUAGUUUGUACCUCAGGCCAGGCGAAAUUCCGGCAGGCGGUGGAGCACGUGCAGUGCAGACGGAUCUCCGGUGAAAUCAACAGUGUACAAGAACGGUGAUGCAGAAGGAUCUCCGGCGAAAUCAACGGUGUACAAGAACGGCGAUGUAGGAAACUUGCAGCACGGCGAUGUGUUGGGCAAGAAACUUGCGAUGCGAUCUAAUCGUGGUCGAGGGGUUCCUUCUUAUAGCAUCAAUAUCCGUGCACCGGACGGCCCCGUGCUCAAUCAUAAAGUAUAGUUUGUUCAGCUUAGGGAACUACAUAGGUUUAGACAAUAGUAAUGCUUUGCUUUCUGUAAAAGAUCUUAGUUAAAAGAAUAUAUUGCUUCUGAUGCUUA